GACGAGCAGCUUUGUACCUUUGCGGUAAGAAGACUAUGACCGUUUCUCAGUACGUAACUGUCCGUACUUGCGUUCUCACGUACUCGCGAAACGUCAUCAUCGAGGCUGCGUCGGACCAGACUAGUGGCAUAUGAGCUGCGUGCUACAGCGAGGCUAAGCUAGUGGGGAUAAAGUUUCAGUGCAUUCCGUUGAUGUAGACGGCGUGAAAACGGAAACAACAAGUAUGCCGGAUCACUGUGCUGCAUACAAUUACACACUACGUCAUACGAUUGAGACAAGGAAACUUGGAAUGACUUUUCAUAGAGUGAAAGAAGCAGUUCCUCCUUAAGGUCAGAGAUUGCAGCAUCUGAGGGCCUCUUCAAAAGAAGACGUAGUUGAUGAAGGCGUUCUGGAACAGGACCAGAAAGACCACGACCAAGCAGCCUCGAGAUCUUACGCAGCGUCUCCCUCAGACCAAAGAACUACAGACUCUUCACAACCUGCUCAAACUCUUGGUACAGGACCUCAACACACGGGUCAAGAAGGUUUCCGUCUCAUUUCUACUCUGAAGCUCACCUUCUCCUGCUCAAACUGCUGACAAAUGUUUCUGCUGCUCUAAAGUCUGCUCUCCAGAACUUCCUAAAAACUCUCAAAAUCUCUUCUGCUGCAGGUUGCUUUGUAGAACUGUUGCAGAAAACCUCACUAAACCACAUGGAGUGGCCUCAAGAUAGUCGUCCAAAUGAAACCAUACAAAAACCAAACUAGUACAACCCAAACGCUAAAGUCUCCUGCAGCCUACCAGAGAACCUCUGAGAACAGAAAAUCAGGACAGGAACUCUUACCUUCUGGACAACCAACGCUGGUUCACAAACAAGAAUACAGAAUGUGUCUGACCAAAGACCUCUAAAGACUCACUACAGCCAAGAUAAAGACACAACUCAGCUGCACCAAAUCCACUAAUCACUGCACACAUUAGCACCAUGUGCUCACUGUGGCUAAAGAACCACAUUUACCAAGACAACUAUCCAGUACAAAGCCCUAAAACACACCAAGAAACACAUUAAAGAUGAUUUUACUGCUGGAAGCUGCAAGCCAACGCCUAAAGAAGAAACUAAAGCAAUGGAGCCAAACCCAGUUCAGUGGUGAAGAGAAGCAGAGGAAAUGUUUGUCUGCAGCUACAUAAAGCAGGAAGACACUGAGCUGCUCAGGUGUUCCUGAUAACACCAAGCAGCCACCUGGACAGCCAAUAGGAACACAGCUUACUGGAAGUCCAGAGGGCUGGGUUACUGAAGGAAAUUUAGUUUACAGUUGAAGCAGAAAGUUCACAAAGUUGAAAACCAACUUCUGAUACUUGAAAUCUCUGAGUUUUCACACAAAGAACACCUGAACAUGUCAAACUGGUUCCAUAGUAGAACCAUCAUUGUAAAAACGCCAUAGUAUACUAUGUCGAGAAAAAAAAUACGAUUUUUCAACAUGUUCUAAAAACAUGCCAUAUGAUGAAAUAAUGUAAAGGAGGCCGUGAAAAACACUCCAGAAAGGUUUUCUUUCAAAAAAAAAUCAUGAACUUUGUCGCAAAAAAACGCCACAGUAUACUAUGUCGAAAAAAAAUGCGAUUUUUCAACAUGUUGUAAAAACGUGCCAUAUGAUGAAAUAAUGUAAAGGAAACACAUUUUGGACCACAUACUAAACUAUGACAUUUUUGUGACAUUUUUGACGAAAUGCAAAACUAUGACGUUUCAAUGAUAUUUUUGAUGACACACUGAACUAUGAUGUUUUUACCCCAUUUUGGACGACAUACUAAACUAUGACUUUUUUCCACAUGUUGGAUGACAUACUAAACUAUGACCUUUUUUUACACAUUUUUGACGACAUACUAAACUAUGACGUUUUAUUGAUAUUUUGGACAACAAACUAAACUAUGACUUUUUUGUGACAUUUUUGACGAAAUGCUAAACUAUGACGUUUCAAUGACAUUUUUGAAGACACACUAAACUAUGACGUUUUUGUCAUAUUUUGGACGACAUAGAAGUUCUGCUUGUUCCCCAGAGUUCCUUCUUUGUGCCAGGUGAGUCCAUACUCUGUCUAUGAAGUUUUUGUGACAUUUUGGACAAAAUACUAAACUAUGAUGUUUUUUCACAUUUUGGACCACACACUAAAUUAUGACGUUUUAGUGAUAUUAUGACUUUAAUCAUUUGUUCCUUAUAUCAUUUCCAACUGAUAAAUCACAAUUUGUAGUAGAAUCGUAAUCAUAUGAUUGUCAGCAGGUAACUGACACAGUGUUCACUUGUUAUCAUGGUUACAACGACGCUGUGCCGGCCGGCAGCUAUAUCUCGCAAUGGGAAAUCCUUAACAGAGCUGUGGAACCAGACUAUAAGCCACAUCACUGUGAAAAUUUAAUAAGGUGGUCCUUGUAUCAUUUCUGACUUCCCCUGAAAAUUUCAUCCAAAUCCGUUUGUCCGUUUUUGAGUAAUGUUUCACACAGACAGACAGACAGACAGAUUCACAGACAAAUGUACGCUGAUCAUCACAAAUCUCCACCGUUCCUUGGCGGAGUAACUAUUUUUGAAUAAGCCCAUUUUAUUGUUUAGCUAAUUAGAAGGUGGUUGUUAUUAAAUUGGGAUGGUUAUUUAGUUGACAUUUUAGUGAUAUCCAGUCAUUUUUUAUGUGAUUGUUUUCAUAAUAAAUUGUGGAAUUUGUAAAGACAUGAAUAUAAUGAACAUAAAAAACAUUUUUUUUGGCUUUUAAUAAAGAUGUAUGCAAGAAAUAUCCCAUGGACUUCAAAAGUCCCUCAAUUAUAUACUGACCCAAGUGCUUUCUGCACUGUAUACUGGCAAUGCUUAAUAUUUUGGAAUUUAAAUGCAUCUUCCCCACAUUAGAUGCUCUUAAAUCUAAAAAAAAAAAGCAUCCUUUCAGCUAACGAAUGACACACUUCCACACACUCCUCCCACAUAAAGCCAGCUAACACUGAGUCAGGUUACUUCAAAAGUAUUUUAAUUAGAGUACAUUUCUUGUCCACGUUUCCAUUAAUGAACAUAUAUGCGUGUGUUGUUGACAUGACUCCAAAAUAAAAUCCUCACGCCUGAGAUAAGAGGCUGGAACACAUUGUGACCACAAAGCAGUGUCACAGGAUACUGUAUUGAUGUUACAAAAAAAAAAAAAACAUCCAGCAAAACAAGUUCCAGAAAUCCUGCUGAUCCACACAGUGUGCGGUGAAGUUGCAUCACUAAUUGCUGCGAGUGUGGGUGGAGAGCUGAUUCACAUUCGUGUUGAGCCGCUCGUCCGCCAGCAGGGGAAGACUUGCAGCAGCAGAGUUAGAAAUCUCUGUUAAAUCCCCGCAUCCCUCCACUUUUAGUUAAGCUCGUGUAUCGGAGGAAGGCUGGGCUGUGUUCACGUCGGCUCUGUUUGCCCUUCAAGGUGUAUUUAACCUCCAUCAGUAGCCCUGUGUACAUUAGCCAAUUAGAAAAAAAGGUGUCUGGUGGGAGUAAUUGUUCAGUAGUUUAAUAGUUUCUAGGAUAUAAUCAAUAUGAAGCAGCAUGAGACUGUAAAGCCGACACCUGACGAUGGCUGUCAUUUAAUAUGUAAUGUUGAUCUUUCCUUAGUCGCUCUUUUCACAUUUAGUAAGAGGUCUCUAUGGAAGCAGCGUUUUUGUUUUUUUUUUUUU